rnacentral:rRNA from 1 species
UACGAAGGGGGCUAGCGUUGCUCGGAAUUACUGGGCGUAAAGGGCGCGUAGGCGGAUAUUUAAGUCGGGGGUGAAAGCCCAGGGCUCAACCCUGGAAUAGCCUUCGAUACUGGAUAUCUUGAGUUCGGGAGAGGUGAGUGGAACUCCGAGUGUAGAGGUGAAAUUCGUAGAUAUUCGGAAGAACACCAGUGGCGAAGGCGACUCACUGGCCCGAUACUGACGCUGAGGCGCGAAAGCGUGGGUAGCGAACAGG